rnacentral:rRNA from 1 species
GAUACCCUACUAUACUAAAAUAUAAAAUUAAAACUCGGAUUAUUAAUAGAUAUAUUCUUUAAAUUUAAAGAAUUUGGCGGUAAUUUAGUCUUGUCAGAGGAACCUGUUUUUGAAUCGAUAUUCCACGUAGAAUCUUACUCGUUUUUGUUUUCAGCUUAUAUACCGUCAUUAACAGAUAAUUUUAAUAGAAUUAAUUAUUGAAGUUUAAAAAAUUUAAAUUAAACGAAAUUAGAUCAAGGUGUAGCUUAUAAAUGAGUUAAAAUGGGUUACAAUAAAAUUUAUUUAAACGGAUUAACUUGAUAAAAUGGUUAUUAAGGAGGAUUUGAUUGUAAUUUGGGUUUAAUAUGCCUUGAAGAUAUAAGCUCUAAAUUAUGUACAU